rnacentral:ribozyme from 12 species
CACGAGCGCAAUAAUAAAAAUAAAAAUAAAAAUAAAAACAAAAAAUAAAAAAAUAGAACCACUAACGACUACCCUUUUUUUUUCACAACCAGUAUUAUUAUUAUUAUUAUUCUUUUUUUUU